GUGUCAGCAGCCGCGGUAAGACAGAGGGUGCGAACGUUGUUCGGAAUUACUGGGCGUAAAGCGCAUGUAGGCGGCAGCGCAAGUCGGGCGUGAAAUCCCACGGCUCAACCGUGGAAGUGCACUCGAAACUGCGCAGCUAGAGUCCUGGAGAGGAAGGUGGAAUGCUUGGUGUAGAGGUGAAAUUCGUAGAUAUCAAGCGGAACACCGGUGGCGAAGGCGGCCUUCUGGACAGUGACUGACGCUGAGAUGCGAAAGCGUGGGGAGCAAACAGGAUUAGAUACCCCCGUAGUCC
rnacentral:rRNA from 1 species